rnacentral:tRNA from 1 species
GGCCCAUUAGCUCAGUUGGUUAGAGCGUGGUGCUAAUAACGCCAAGGUCGCAGGUUCGACCGCUGCAUGGGCCA